UACGAAGGGUGCAAGCGUUACUCGGAAUCACUGAGCGUAAAGGGCGCGUAGGCGGCCUGGUAAGUAGGGGGUGAAAUCCUGCGGCUUAACCGCAGGGCUGCCUUCUAAACUGUCAGGCUCGAGCACGGUAGAGGCAGAUGGAAUUCCCGGUGUAGCGGUGGAAUGCGUAGAGAUCGGGAAGAACAUCAGUGGCGAAGGCGGUCUGCUGGGCCGUUGCUGACGCUGAGGCGCGACAGCGUGGGGGAGCAAACAGG
rnacentral:rRNA from 1 species